GACGAACGCUGGCGGCGUGCUUAACACAUGCGAGUCGAACGGAAAGGCCCUGCUUUUGUGGGGUGCUCGAGUGGCGAACGGGUGAGUAACACGUGAGUAACCUGCCCUUGACUUUGGGAUAACUUCAGGAAACUGGGGCUAAUACCGCAUAGGAGCUCCUGCUGCAUGGUGGGGGUUGGAAAGUUUCGGCGGUUGGGGAUGGACUCGCGGCUUAUCAGCUUGUUGGUGGGGUAGUGGCUUACCAAGGCUUUGACGGGUAGCCGGCCUGAGAGGGUGACCGGCCACAUUGGGACUGAGAUACGGCCCAGACUCCUACGGGAGGCAGCAGUGGGGAAUAUUGCACAAUGGGCGGAAGCCUGAUGCAGCAACGCCGCGUGCGGGAUGACGGCCUUCGGGUUGUAAACCGCUUUCGCCUGUGACGAAGCGUGAGUGACGGUAAUGGGUAAAGAAGCACCGGCUAACUACGUG
rnacentral:rRNA from 1 species